rnacentral:rRNA from 1 species
CUCAGGAUGAACGCUAGCUACAGGCUUAACACAUGCAAGUCGAGGGGCAGCAUGGUCUUAGCUUGCUAAGGCCGAUGGCGACCGGCGCACGGGUGAGUAACACGUAUCCAACCUGCCGUCUACUCUUGGACAGCCUUCUGAAAGGAAGAUUAAUACAAGAUGGCAUCAUGAGUCCGCAUGUUCACAUGAUUAAAGGUAUUCCGGUAGACGAUGGGGAUGCGUUCCAUUAGAUAGUAGGCGGGGUAACGGCCCACCUAGUCUUCGAUGGAUAGGGGUUCUGAGAGGAAGGUCCCCCACAUUGGAACUGAGACACGGUCCAAACUCCUACGGGAGGCAGCAGUGAGGAAUAUUGGUCAAUGGGCGAGAGCCUGAACCAGCCAAGUAGCGUGAAGGAUGACUGCCCUAUGGGUUGUAAACUUCUUUUAUAAAGGAAUAAAGUCGGGUAUGCAUACCCGUUUGCAUGUACUUUAUGAAUAAGGAUCGGCUAACUCCGUGCCAGCAGCCGCGGUAAUACGGAGGAUCCGAGCGUUAUCCGGAUUUAUUGGGUUUAAAGGGAGCGUAGAUGGAUGUUUAAGUCAGUUGUGAAAGUUUGCGGCUCAACCGUAAAAUUGCAGUUGAUACUGGAUAUCUUGAGUGCAGUUGAGGCAGGCGGAAUUCGUGGUGUAGCGGUGAAAUGCUUAGAUAUCACGAAGAACUCCGAUUGCGAAGGCAGCCUGCUAAGCUGCAACUGACAUUGAGGCUCGAAAGUGUGGGUAUCAAACAGGAUUAGAUACCCUGGUAGUCCACACGGUAAACGAUGAAUACUCGCUGUUUGCGGUAUACGGCAAGCGGCCAAGCGAAAGCGUUAAGUAUUCCACCUGGGGAGUACGCCGGCAACGGUGAAACUCAAAGGAAUUGACGGGGGCCCGCACAAGCGGAGGAACAUGUGGUUUAAUUCGAUGAUACGCGAGGAACCUUACCCGGGCUUAAAUUGCAGAUGAAUUACGGUGAAAGCCGUAAGCCGCAAGGCAUCUGUGAAGGUGCUGCAUGGUUGUCGUCAGCUCGUGCCGUGAGGUGUCGGCUUAAGUGCCAUAACGAGCGCAACCCUUGUUGUCAGUUACUAACAGGUUCCGCUGAGGACUCUGACAAGACUGCCAUCGUAAGAUGUGAGGAAGGUGGGGAUGACGUCAAAUCAGCACGGCCCUUACGUCCGGGGCUACACACGUGUUACAAUGGGGGGUACAGAGGGCCGCUACCACGCGAGUGGAUGCCAAUCCCCAAAACCUCUCUCAGUUCGGACUGGAGUCUGCAACCCGACUCCACGAAGCUGGAUUCGCUAGUAAUCGCGCAUCAGCCACGGCGCGGUGAAUACGUUCCCGGGCCUUGUACACACCGCCCGUCAAGCCAUGGGAGCCGGGGGUACCUGAAGUGCGUAACCGCGAGGAGCGCCCUAGGGUAAAACUGGUGAC